rnacentral:rRNA from 1 species
GGGGAGUGGGGCAGGCCUACCAUGCAAGUCGAGCGGAUGAAGGGAGCUUGCUCCUGGAUUCAGCGGCGGACGGGUGAGUAAUGCCUAGGAAUCUGCCUGGUAGUGGGGGAUAACGUCCGGAAACGGGCGCUAAUACCGCAUACGUCCUGAGGGAGAAAGUGGGGGAUCUUCGGACCUCACGCUAUCAGAUGAGCCUAGGUCGGAUUAGCUAGUUGGUGGGGUAAAGGCCUACCAAGGCGACGAUCCGUAACUGGUCUGAGAGGAUGAUCAGUCACACUGGAACUGAGACACGGUCCAGACUCCUACGGGAGGCAGCAGUGGGGAAUAUUGGACAAUGGGCGAAAGCCUGAUCCAGCCAUGCCGCGUGUGUGAAGAAGGUCUUCGGAUUGUAAAGCACUUUAAGUUGGGAGGAAGGGCAGUAAGUUAAUACCUUGCUGUUUUGACGUUACCAACAGAAUAAGCACCGGCUAACUUCGUGCCAGCAGCCGCGGUAAUACGAAGGGUGCAAGCGUUAAUCGGAAUUACUGGGCGUAAAGCGCGCGUAGGUGGUUCAGCAAGUUGGAUGUGAAAUCCCCGGGCUCAACCUGGGAACUGCAUCCAAAACUACUGAGCUAGAGUACGGUAGAGGGUGGUGGAAUUUCCUGUGUAGCGGUGAAAUGCUUAUAUAUAGGAGGGAACACCAGUGGGGAAAGCGACCACCUGUACUGACACUGACUCUGAGGUGCGAAAGCAUGGGGAGCAAACGGGGAGUGCAUACCCUGCUAGGUGCCCCCUCCAAAAUGUCGACUAGUCCGCGCGGGAG